GUUAUACUCUCCUCCAAGGUUAAUUCAAUCUGAGCUUUCACAUUUUUUACUUUUUGUAGUAUAAUUGGCAAAACUGAUGUCUAGCCUAAACUUGGCAAAUAGUAAUGGUUUGCUUUUCUUUUUUACUUUUGCUGAAGUGAGCCCUUCGGGACAUCUGUAGGUCAGCUCUUGUUGGUGAAUUGAGUACAGCGGAAGCACCUGCACUUUGGAAAUAACUCAAGAUUAUGUGUAUCAAAAGAAGUCAAGCAGCAAAGUUUCUCACCCAUAAACAAAUAAACAGAAAUACUUUUUGGAGUAUUGACUGCAUCAGCAUACGCCAUGGACACAUCCAGAGAACCUAGUAAUACAGUGUGACACUGUGUGUUGGUACUUCCAGGAAGCACGGUGGUGCUACGAGGGGAGGCAGACCCAGUUGUGCACCUUGACCUUGGCAUGUUUACACCAGCAUUUGGGUCAGCUGCUCCCGGUAGGAAUCUGAAUCACUCACACCAGCUUCCUAGAGGCAAGAGGUACUGUGCUCAAAUCUCUGGAAGAAUUAUUUUCUCUCUAAACCACCCUCAUGAAACAGG
rnacentral:lncRNA from 1 species